UUUCUUUAGCGAUGUUGUUAC
rnacentral:misc_RNA from 1 species